rnacentral:rRNA from 1 species
AUGCAAACUGCGAAUACCGGAGAAUGUUAUCACGGGAGACACACGGCGGGUGCUAACGUCCGUCGUGAAGAGGGAAACAACCCAGACCGCCAGCUAAGGUCCCAAAGUCAUGGUUAAGUGGGAAACGAUGUGGGAAGGCCCAGACAGCCAGGAUGUUGGCUUAGAAGCAGCCAUCAUUUAAAGAAAGCGUAAUAGCUCACUGGUCGAGUCGGCCUGCGCGGAAGAUGUAACGGGGCUAAACCAUGCACCGAAGCUGCGGCAGCGACGCUUAUGCGUUGUUGGGUAGGGGAGCGUUCUGUAAGCCUGUGAAGGUGUGCUGUGAGGCAUGCUGGAGGUAUCAGAAGUGCGAAUGCUGACAUAAGUAACGAUAAAGCGGGUGAAAAGCCCGCUCGCCGGAAGACCAAGGGUUCCUGUCCAACGUUAAUCGGGGCAGGGUGAGUCGACCCCUAAGGCGAGGCCGAAAGGCGUAGUCGAUGGGAAACAGGUUAAUAUUCCUGUACUUGGUGUUACUGCGAAGGGGGGACGGAGAAGGCUAUGUUGGCCGGGCGACGGUUGUCCCGGUUUAAGCGUGUAGGCUGGUUUUCCAGGCAAAUCCGGAAAAUCAAGGCUGAGGCGUGAUGACGAGGCACUACGGUGCUGAAGCAACAAAUGCCCUGCUUCCAGGAAAAGCCUCUAAGCAUCAGGUAACAUCAAAUCGUACCCCAAACCGACACAGGUGGUCAGGUAGAGAAUACCAAGGCGCUUGAGAGAACUCGGGUGAAGGAACUAGGCAAAAUGGUGCCGUAACUUCGGGAGAAGGCACGCUGAUAUGUAGGUGAAGUCCCUCGCGGAUGGAGCUGAAAUCAGUCGAAGAUACCAGCUGGCUGCAACUGUUUAUUAAAAACACAGCACUGUGCAAACACGAAAGUGGACGUAUACGGUGUGACGCCUGCCCGGUGCCGGAAGGUUAAUUGAUGGGGUCAGCGCAAGCGAAGCUCUUGAUCGAAGCCCCGGUAAACGGCGGCCGUAACUAUAACGGUCCUAAGGUAGCGAAAUUCCUUGUCGGGUAAGUUCCGACCUGCACGAAUGGCGUAAUGAUGGCCAGGCUGUCUCCACCCGAGACUCAGUGAAAUUGAACUCGCUGUGAAGAUGCAGUGUACCCGCGGCAAGACGGAAAGACCCCGUGAACCUUUACUAUAGCUUGACACUGAACAUUGAGCCUUGAUGUGUAGGAUAGGUGGGAGGCUUAGAAGUGUGGACGCCAGUCUGCAUGGAGCCGACCUUGAAAUACCACCCUUUAAUGUUUGAUGUUCUAACGUUGACCCGUAAUCCGGGUUGCGGACAGUGUCUGGUGGGUAGUUUGACUGGGGCGGUCUCCUCCUAAAGAGUAACGGAGGAGCACGAAGGUUGGCUAAUCCUGGUCGGACAUCAGGAGGUUAGUGCAAUGGCAUAAGCCAGCUUGACUGCGAGCGUGACGGCGCGAGCAGGUGCGAAAGCAGGUCAUAGUGAUCCGGUGGUUCUGAAUGGAAGGGCCAUCGCUCAACGGAUAAAAGGUACUCCGGGGAUAACAGGCUGAUACCGCCCAAGAGUUCAUAUCGACGGCGGUGUUUGGCACCUCGAUGUCGGCUCAUCACAUCCUGGGGCUGAAGUAGGUCCCAAGGGUAUGGCUGUUCGCCAUUUAAAGUGGUACGCGAGCUGGGUUUAGAACGUCGUGAGACAGUUCGGUCCCUAUCUGCCGUGGGCGCUGGAGAACUGAGGGGGGCUGCUCCUAGUACGAGAGGACCGGAGUGGACGCAUCACUGGUGUUCGGGUUGUCAUGCCAAUGGCACUGCCCGGUAGCUAAAUGCGGAAGAGAUAAGUGCUGAAAGCAUCUAAGCACGAAACUUGCCCCGAGAUGAGUUCUCCCUGACUCCUUGAGAGUCCUGAAGGAACGUUGAAGACGACGACGUUGAUAGGCCGGGUGUGUAAGCGCAGCGAUGCGUUGAGCUAACCGGUACUAAUGAACCGUGAG